UCCCGGAUUGGACUCUUGAAUUUGGUGGAUGUUUGACUUUAGUUGGAUUUAGCUUAUUCAUGAAUUUUGCGAGCUUACACUGUAUGAAGCCUUUAAAGAGAUCUAUUAUGUGUUGUAUUUAGCAUUAUAUCAGUUAUCAUGGAUGUUGAGCACACACACACUAUAUCAAUAAUAACAGGGUAAGAUUUGAUGAUUGACAAGGAAUUUAUUAAUCUGUCUUGAUAUGAUGUACUAGCAUGUUUAUUGUGAUUUCUCUGAGGC
rnacentral:lncRNA from 1 species